rnacentral:tRNA from 1 species
CAUUAAGAAGCUAAACUGGAUAUAGCGUUAGCCUUUUAAGCUAAAGAUUGGUGUUCUCCAACCACCCUUAGUGA